UACGUAGGUGGCUAGCGUUGUCCGGAUUUACUGGGCGUAAAGAGCGCGCAGGCGGUCGUUCAAGUCGAGUGUGAAAGCCCCCGGCUCAACUGGGGAGGGUCACUCGAUACUGAUCGACUUGAAGGCGGGAGAGGGAAGCGGAAUUCCCGGUGUAGUGGUGAAAUGCGUAGAUAUCGGGGAGGAACACCAGUGGCGAAGGCGGCUUUCUGGCCCGUUCUUGACGCUGAGGCGCGAAAGCUAGGGUAGCAAACGGG
rnacentral:rRNA from 1 species